GUACUAAGGUAGCAUAAUCAUUAGUCUCUUGAUUGGAGAAUAGAAUGAAAGAGAUAACUAUCAUUGUAUUAUAUUUGAAUUUUAAAAUAAAACUGGUUUUAAUUUAAAAAAAAAUUAAUUAAAUAGUAUGACAAUAAGACCCUGACGAACUUAAACAAAUAAUGUUUUACUGGGGUAGUAAUAUAAUUAAAUCUUAUACAAAAAUACCGACUUACCGAACGAAGAUACUUAAAUAAGGAACAAGUUACCGCAGGGAUAACAGCACAAUUCUUUAUUAGAGUUUUAUCAAAAAAAGAAUCUAUGACCUCGAUGUUGAAUCAACUAUCUAGACCUGAAUAAAAUCAGCAUAAGAAGGUCUGUUCGACCUUUAAUUUUUUACAUGAU
rnacentral:rRNA from 1 species